AACGCGAAGAACCUUACCUACCCUUGACAUGUACGGAAGCCUCCAGAGAUGGGGGUGUGCCCGAAAGGGAGCCGUAACACAGGUGCUGCAUGGCUGUCGUCAGCUCGUGUCGUGAGAUGUUGGGUUAAGUCCCGCAACGAGCGCAACCCUUGUCCCUAGUUGCUACGCAAGGGCACUCUAGGGAGACUGCCGGUGACAAACCGGAGGAAGGUGGGGAUGACGUCAAGUCCUCAUGGCCCUUAUGGGUAGGGCUUCACACGUCAUACAAUGGCCGGUACAGAGGGUUGCCAAAGCGCGAGCUGGAGCCAAUCCCAGAAAGCCGGUCGUAGUCCGGAUUGCAGUCUGCAACUCGACUGCAUGAAGUCGGAAUCGCUAGUAAUCGCGGAUCAGCAUGUCGCGGUGAAUACGUUCCCGGGCCUUGUACACACCGGUAUCUC
rnacentral:rRNA from 1 species